UGCAUAUUACAUCCAGAUAGUACGGCGACUUCAAUUCCGCUAAAAGCUUUUUUAACCGUCACGUCAUCUAUAUUUAUUUCUUCGUCUGUUCUUACUUUGACUUUCUCUCUCUCUCUCUCUCUCUCUUUUCUGGGUACCCAGGAUUUGGUGAUUGAGGCUUUAAUCUGAAGUAUCGUUUGGCUUUCUGUAUUCUUUCUGGAAGUUUUGGUGUCUGAAAAUAGUGUCUACGAUUGCCGAUAUGUCAUUCUUCGCACAGGUGUUUUAAGAGCUUGAAUUCUUGCCAUUUUCUCCUAAAAAACUAUUUCAAAGAUAUAUCAAACAAAUUCAGUGUCUACAAUUGCUGCAAGAAUUUGCUUGUACUGGUGGAUUGGAGGAGUUUAAUGGGUUUCGUAUGUUUUGGUUUAGUAACUUUCUUGAAUAGAAGAAUUAAUUUGUUUUGAUUUUGGAAGAAUUUGAAUUCUCUGCAAUAACCUAUAAUGAUUGGGAGGAAGAACAUGGGACGGGCAUCACCAGUGUUUCUGAUUCUUUUGGCCCUUGGCUCUUUUAUUGCAACAUAUAAUUUGCUAACUGUGAUAAUUGACAAUAGAACAGCUGAUUCAGGGAAAUGGGUCCAUGAUGAUUCAGACAGUCAAUCAUUGUCUGAUCCUAUUAUUGAAAUGCCUGCGAAUGUGAAGAGACCAAAGAACGCUAAGCUGCCUUUCCACGUUGCCUUAACUGCAACUGAUGCUCCCUAUAGCAAAUGGCAGUGUCGCAUUAUGUACUACUGGUAUAAGAAGAAGAAGGACUUGCCUGAAUCAGAGAUGGGAGGAUUCACUCGGAUUCUCCAUUCAGGAAGUCCUGACAACCUAAUGGAUGAGAUUCCUACUUUCGUAGUUGACCCUCUGCCAGCGGGUCUGGAUCGGGGUUAUAUUGUUUUAAAUAGACCAUGGGCCUUUGUACAAUGGCUGGAAAAAGCUACUAUUGAAGAAGAAUACAUAUUGAUGGCAGAGCCUGAUCACAUAUUUGUAAAUCCACUUCCGAAUUUGGCACAUGGGGGGCUUCCUGCUGGCUUUCCUUUUUUCUACAUCAAGCCCAAAGAACAUGAGAAGAUUGUAAGGAAGUUUUUUGCCAAGGAGAAUGGCCCUGUAACAAAUAUUGAUCCAAUAGGCAAUUCCCCUGUUAUUAUCAAGAAGGAUACUCUGGAGAAGAUUGCACCGACAUGGAUGAAUAUUUCUUUGAGAAUGAAAGAUGACCCAGAGACUGAUAAAACAUUUGGAUGGGUGCUAGAAAUGUAUGCUUAUGCUGUGGCCUCGGCUUUGCAUGGUGUGCAGCAUAUACUUCGAAAAGACUUUAUGAUACAGCCACCAUGGGAUUUGGAAACUGGGAAAAAUUUUAUCAUCCAUUACACUUAUGGAUGUGACUACAACAUGACGUGCACAGGGCGAGCUUACAUAUGGAAAAAUUGGAGAGUGGAGAUUUGACAAGAGAUCAUAUCUCCGUGGACCUCCGCCAAGAAAUCUCCCUUUGCCCCCUCCAGGGGUUCCUGAAAGUGUGGUUACACUUGUAAAGAUGGUCAAUGAAGCUACUGCUAACAUUUCGGGAUGGGACACAGAAUAACUUCCUAUGGUCGAAAAGCGUAACCCCAUGCAUCCCUAGUUCUGGGAGAUAGAUUGAAGCACACAAACCUCAGGUUUGAUGCUUGUACUUGCAGAAAGAAUACAUAAAUUGAAAGAAUGUGUUUUUGUCCUAAACAAGUGUACUAAAGACAUAAUUCAGGAAAGGAAAAAAAUGAGGUCAACUUCUUUUUAAAUUAUUUUAUUUUAUUUUAUUUUUAAUUUUUAAAUUAGUUGAAGUCUUGAUAUAGAAUGUUUUAAUAGAAUAUUUUGUUUGACUUGUAUUUAUUCUUGAUAAUGAGAUGAUUGAGCUUCAGGUCAGCAUA